UACGAAGGGGGCUAGCGUUGCUCGGAAUUACUGGGCGUAAAGGGCGCGUAGGCGGAUAGUUUAGUCAGAGGUGAAAGCCCAGGGCUCAACCUUGGAAUUGCCUUUGAUACUGGCUAUCUUGAGUUCGGGAGAGGUGGGUGGAAUGCCGAGUGUAGAGGUGAAAUUCGUAGAUAUUCGGCGGAACACCAGUGGCGAAGGCGACUCACUGGCCCGAUACUGAUGCUGAGGCGCGAAAGCGUGGGGAGCAAACAGG
rnacentral:rRNA from 1 species